GUCGAGCGAAUGGAUUGAGAGCUUGCUCUCAAGAAGUUAGCGGCGGACGGGUGAGUAACACGUGGGUAACCUGCCCAUAAGACUGGGAUAACUCCGGGAAACCGGGGCUAAUACCGGAUAAUAUUUUGAACUGCAUGGUUCGAAAUUGAAAGGCGGCUUCGGCUGUCACUUAUGGAUGGACCCGCGUCGCAUUAGCUAGUUGGUGAGGUAACGGCUCACCAAGGCAACGAUGCGUAGCCGACCUGAGAGGGUGAUCGGCCACACUGGGACUGAGACACGGCCCAGACUCCUACGGGAGGCAGCAGUAGGGAAUCUUCCGCAAUGGACGAAAGUCUGACGGAGCAACGCCGCGUGAGUGAUGAAGGCUUUCGGGUCGUAAAACUCUGUUGUUAGGGAAGAACAAGUGCUAGUUGAAUAAGCUGGCACCUUGACGGUACCUAACCAGAAAGCCACGGCUAACUACGUGCCAGCAGCCGCGGUAAUACGUAGGUGGCAAGCGUUAUCCGGAAUUAUUGGGCGUAAAGCGCGCGCAGGUGGUUUCUUAAGUCUGAUGUGAAAGCCCACGGCUCAACCGUGGAGGGUCAUUGGAAACUGGGAGACUUGAGUGCAGAAGAGGAAAGUGGAAUUCCAUGUGUAGCGGUGAAAUGCGUAGAGAUAUGGAGGAACACCAGUGGCGAAGGCGACUUUCUGGUC
rnacentral:rRNA from 1 species